CUACGGGCCGCUCCAGUUAGGUAUAAUCUACAAUGCACGCAAGUGUGAUAGUUUGAGCCAGAGUGCGUAUCUAUUGAUAUGCUUUUGUGAAAUGUAAAAAGUUUCACGAAUAAGGACUGGGUAAGACAGGUGCCAGCCGCCGCGGUAAUACCUGCGGUCCGAGUCGCAGCCAUUUUUAUUGGGUCUAAAACAUCCGUAGCUUGCUUGAUAAGUUUCUUGUGAAAUAUUAUGUCUUAAACAUAAUGCGCGCAAGAAGUACUGUCAAGCUAGAGACAGGGAGACGUGAAGAGUACGUUUGAAGUAGCGGUAAAAUGUUUUAAUCUCAGACGGACUAACAACAGCGAAGGCACUUUACGAGAACUGUUCUGACAGUAAGGGAUGAAGGCUAGGGGCGCAAAACGGAUUAGAUACCCCCGUAGUC
rnacentral:rRNA from 1 species